rnacentral:rRNA from 1 species
UACGGGGGGGGCAAGCGUUGUUCGGAAUUACUGGGCGUAAAGGGCUCGUAGGCGGCCAACUAAGUCCGACGUGAAAUCCCUCGGCUUAACCGGGGAACUGCGUCUGAUACUGGAUGGCUUGAGUUCGGGAGAGGGACGCGGAAUUCCAGGUGUAGCGGUGAAAUGCGUAGAUAUCGGGAGGAAUACCAGUGGCGAAGGCGGGUCUCUGGACCGACACUGACGCUGAGGCGCGAAAGCCAGGGGAGCAAACGGG